rnacentral:rRNA from 1 species
AUUGAACGCUGGCGGUAUGCCUAACACAUGCAAGUCGAACGGCAGCACAGUAAGAGCUUGCUUUUCCGGUUGGCGAGUGGCGGACGGGUGAUGAAUACAUCGGAAUCUACUUUUUCGUGGUGCAUAACGUCGUGAAACUUACGCUAUUACCGCAUACGACCUACGGGUGAAAGCACGAGAUCUUCGGCCCUUGCGCGAUUCAAUGAGCCGAUGUCGGAUUAGCUAGUUGGCGGGGUAAAGGCCCACCAAGGCGACGAUCCGUAGCUGGUCUGAGAGGAUGAUCAGCCACACUGGAACUGAGACACGGUCCAGACUCCUACGGGAGGCAGCAGUGGGGAAUAUUGGACAAUGGGCGCAAGCCUGAUCCAGCCAUACCGCGUGGGUGAAGAAGGCCUUCGGGUUGUAAAGCGCUUUUGUUGGGAAAGAAAAGCAGCAGGUUAAUACCCCGCUGUACUGACGGUACCGAAAGAAUAAGCACCGGCUAACUUCGUG